UUAUUCACAACUGCAUAAUUC
rnacentral:miRNA from 1 species